rnacentral:rRNA from 1 species
GUGCCAGCAGCCGCGGUAAGACGUAGGAGGCGAGCGUUGUCCGGAUUCAUUGGGCGUAAAGAGCACGCAGGCGGUUUGGCAAGUCGGACGUGAAAAUCCGGGGCUCAACCCCGGACCUGCAUCCGAAACUGCCCGACUAGAGGUAGGUAGGGGAGAUCGGAAUUCCUGGUGUAGCGGUGAAAUGCGCAGAUAUCAGGAGGAACACCGGUGGCGAAGGCGGAUCUCUGGGCCUUACCUGACGCUCAGGUGCGAAAGCUAGGGGAGCGAACAGGAUUAGAAACCCUGGUAGUCC